CUACGGGCCGCAGCAGUGAGGAAUAUUGCACAAUGGGGGGAACCCUGAUGCAGCAACGCCGCGUGGAGGAUGACGCAUUUCGGUGUGUAAACUCCUUUUAUAUGUCAAGAAAAUGACGGUAGCAUAUGAAUAAGCACCGGCUAACUCCGUGCCAGCAGCCGCGGUAAUACGGAGGGUGCAAGCGUUACUCGGAAUCACUGGGCGUAAAGGACGCGUAGGCGGGUUGGAAAGUCAGGUGUGAAAUCCUACAGCUUAACUGUAGAACUGCACUUGAAACUUCUAAUCUAGAGUAUGGGAGGGGGAGAUGGAAUUAGUGGUGUAGGGGUAAAAUCCGUAGAUAUCACUAGGAAUACCUAAAGCGAAGGCGAUCUCCUGGAACAUUACUGACGCUAAGGCGUGAAAGCGUGGGGAGCAAACAGGAUGAUACCCGAGUAGUC
rnacentral:rRNA from 1 species